rnacentral:rRNA from 1 species
AUUGAACGCUGGCGGCAGGCCUAACACAUGCAAGUCGAGCGGAUGAUGGGAGCUUGCUCCUGGAUUCAGCGGCGGACGGGUGAGUAAUGCCUAGGAAUCUGCCUGGUAGUGGGGGACAACGUUUCGAAAGGAACGCUAAUACCGCAUACGUCCUACGGGAGAAAGCAGGGGACCUUCGGGCCUUGCGCUAUCAGAUGAGCCUAGGUCGGAUUAGCUAGUUGGUGGGGUAAAGGCCUACCAAGGCGACGAUCCGUAACUGGUCUGAGAGGAUGAUCAGUCACACUGGAACUGAGACACGGUCCAGACUCCUACGGGAGGCAGCAGUGGGGAAUAUUGGACAAUGGGCGAAAGCCUGAUCCAGCCAUGCCGCGUGUGUGAAGAAGGUCUUCGGAUUGUAAAGC